rnacentral:tRNA from 1 species
GGGGAUGUAGCUCAGUUGAUAGAGUACAUGCCUUGCAUGCACAAGGCCCUGGGUUCAAUCCCCAGCACCA